rnacentral:lncRNA from 1 species
GUGGGUAGGCAUCAGCUGAGUUGAUGGCUGUGUUUUCCUUUCUGCUCUAACAGGACAGCAUUCAGUUCAAUGCCUUGCAGUUGCUGUGCUCUCCUUCCACCAGCGUGCAAAAGUGCUCUCCACACCACACCACUGCUGUUGGGAGGUGUGGGAUGGGUCAUGUCAGCAAUUCAAGACAGUCCCUUUUACAUCUUAAGUGCAUCUUUCAGUGAUACAAAGUGAAAACCAGGCUUUACCCCAUAAAGACAAAGAAACUGGCUGAGGAGACAAGAGAAAGAAAGUAGCAGAAGAUGGGAAGGAAACAGACGGAGUCUCACUUGUGUUGCCAAGAGAGCUUGAGCAUCAACUGGCAGUGAGGAUGGCAGGAAAGCAACUGACUUAUCCCCUCUCACCAGACCUUCCAACUGUCUGCAACACUGGCAUUGCCACGUAUCCCGGCACGUUGUUGAUCCCAUUGUGGCAUUGUGGUCAGAGAAUAUACAAAUCGCUGAAGAAUCCAUUGUUUAUGGACAUUCCUGGGAUAGUAUUCAUUUAAAUAUCUCUAUGUACACUGUAAUGGAAUAUAAUACAAAAAUGGAGUUGCACGCAAAAUGAGGGUACCACUCAGUAAAUGGUUCCACAGGGACGUCUGAUCCCCUACGAUCUGGGUUAAGAAAUGGUGUAGUGUAUUGCCGGCAGCUCAAAAGCACUCUCAUGCCAGUCACUCUUGUCUUCCACCUCAGCAAAUCUAACCACUCUUGUGACUUUUAACACUUGACGAUAAUCCUGCCUGUUUGUGAACGCAUUACACAUGAGUAGACUCAGUACAGUACGUAUUUUAUAAUCCGGGUUUCUCUUGGCAACAUUAGGUUUUUCUCCUUGCUAUUCACUUUUGUCGUGCUGUGUAGCUGAAUUUCGUUUCUUUGCAUUCCUGCGCAGUGUUUUGAAUUGUAUGACGAUGCCACAAUUUAUUCAUGCCUUUUAUUUCUAAUGGGCUCUUCAGUAGUUUCCAGCGCUGGAGUGUUAGUGUUAUUAUUGUGGUGCACGUUCACAAGGAUGUCCUUUGGUUAACAUGCGUAUGCAUUUAAGGCUGUGCUUGCAGGACUGCUUUGAUUACUUUUUCUUCCUUCAUGGCACUGUAAGUGGUGACAGUGGAUGUAUCUGGUUUUUUUUUCCCCCUGAUCUCAGAGGGAAAGCUGUCAACAUGUCACCCGUAAGUAUCGUUGUUUUUGUAGGCUUUUAAAAUAUAUUCCAACGGAAUCAAGAGACUUCCCUUUUGUUCGUAGUUGGCUAAGAGGUUUUAUCAUAAGUGCAUGGUCAUUUAAAAAAAAUCAAACCCAUGAAAUACCCUUCCUGCGUCUGUAGGGAAUAUCAUAUUUUUUCUCCUUCAUACAUUACUUCUGAGAGAUAGAUUUUUCAAGCGCUGAACCGCUUCAUUUCUAGAAUACUCUUGACUUGUUUGUGAUACGUUUUCCUUUUUGGAGAUUUAACUGAUUUGUUUUGCUAAUGCUUUAUUCAAGAUUUCUUCUUCUGUGCUUAUGUAAAAGAUAGGCCUGUGCAUUUCAUUUCUUACCAUGCCCUUUAAGGUUUUUCCCUCAUAAAACGGGAUGGGAAGCAUUUCCCGUUUUUUAUGUUACUUGGCAAGAAGGUAAGAUUGAUAUUCCUUCCUUCACAAACGUUUUGUAGAAUUAAUCGGUGGCAGCAUCAGAGUCCGUAGGUUCUUGUGGCUGUUGCUGUUGUUUCCUUCAGAUUCCGCCCGUUUAGAAUUUGUAGGACAAUUCAGAUGUUUAGUCUGUUUUCUGUCAUUUUGUUGUAUUUUCUUGAAAUGUGUAAAUUAUAUCCAAAGUUUCACGUUUGUGGGCAUAAAGUUGCUCAUGGUUUUGAAUAAUGAUCUCUUUAAUGCCUUCAUUGCCCAUAGUGAUGUCUCCUUAGCCACUCCAGACACGGGUUGCUUCAUGAUUUCUCUCCUUUUUGUUCAGGCCUACACAAGGCAUGUCUUAAUCACAUCAUCUUUUCAAAAAACCACCUCUGGCUGUGUUGUUUUAUCUUUAACUGAUUUGUACUUUUAUCGUUAUUUCAUUUCUUCUGCUUUCUUCAGGUUUAAUCUGUUGUUCAACAUGGUUAAGAAAGAUGCAAAUGUUGUGCCUUUCUUUUUCAUGCAAUCUAGACAAUUAAAAUAUAUCCCAUAAGAUUUCAUCAGGUUCAAAAUACUUUGCGAUUUCAUUGGUGAUGUUUUCCUUGAGCUAUGGGUUAUUUAGAAAAUAGGAAAUAAAAAGGAUGCCUUUUCUAAAAAUAAAAUGAAGUGAAAUAAAAAGGAUGCCCUUUUAUUUCAUUUUCUUGCUUAAUUGCCCUCUGAACUUCCGGGACUAUGUUGAGAAGAAGUAGCAAAAGCGGGCAUCUCUGUCUUGCUCCUGAUCUUAGAGGAAAAGCUUUCACUCUUUCGCCAUCGUGUACAGUGUUCACAAUGAGUAUUUUAUAUAGGACUUUUGUGACGUUGAGGUUGUUUCCUUCUGUUUCAAGGAGUUUGAGUGUUUUUAUCACGAAGGGGGUUGACUUUUGUCAGAUGCUUUUAGUGCAUCAAUUGAGCCGAUCAUGUGGUUUUGUCCUUCAUUUUGUUGAUGCCGUACACUAAAUUAGUUGAUUUUCAUUGAUCGAAACUUCCUUGCAUUCCACGAAUAAAUCCCACGUGGUCAUGGGCCUUUCAUGUGUUGUUGAACUCGGUGUGCUAGACUUUUGUUGAAUAUGUAUGCACAAACAUUCUUUUGGGAAGUGUGUGUGUGUGUGUGUGUGUGUGUGCGCGCGCGUUUCUGGUCCUAGUUCUUCUCUAACUGUUUAGUAGAAUUCUCCACUGAAGCCAUCUAGUCCUGCGGUUUUCUCUGUUGGGAGGUUGAUGAAUACUGGUUAAGUCUCCUUAUGAGUUGUCGAGAUCUGCUGAGAUUUUUUAUUUCUUCAGGAGUCAGUCUUGGCAGCGUGUACGUUUCUCAGAAUUUAUCCAUUUCUUCUAAAGUAUCAAAUUUGUUGGGGUAUAGUUGUUCCUGGUCUUCUCCUUAUAAUCUUUUUUAUUUCUGUAGUAACAAUUGUAAUGCCCCUCUGUCAUUCUGAUUUUAGUUAUUUGACCCUUCUCUGUUUUUUUCUUAAUCUGCUUAACCUAUGUUGACCUUUUCAGAGACACCAGCUCUUAGUUUCAUUGUUUUUUUUUUCCUAUUAUUUGUCUAUUCUCCAUUUCCUUUAUUUGUGCUCUAAUCUUUAUUACUUCCUUCCUUCUGCUAACUUCGGGUUUACGUUGUUCUUCCUUUGCUAGUUCUCGAAACACAAAGAUAGGCUGUUGAUUUGAGAUCUUUCUUCUUUUUCACUGUAAGGAUUUACCACAAUAAACUUCCCUCUUAACACUGCUUUCCCUGCAUCUCCUUAGUUGUGGUAUGUGGUGUUUUCAUUGUCAUGUGUCUCAAGAUACUUUCUAAUUUCCUUGUGGUC